ensembl:lncRNA
UGGUACUAGUGUGUCCAGAUAUGAGCUGUGGUACCAGUAUGUCCAGUUAGAAGCUGCAGUACCAGGAUGUCCAGGUAGGAGCUGUGGAACCAGUAUGUCCAGGUACCAGCAUGUCCUGGUAGGAGCUGUGGUACCAGUAUGUCCAGGUACCAGGAUGUCCAGGUAGGAGCUGAGGUACCAGUAUGUCCAGGUAGGAGCUGUGGUACCAGUAUGUCCACGUACCAGUAUGUCCAGGUAGGAGCUGAGGUACCAGGAUGUCCAGGUAGGAGCUGUGGUACCAGUAGGUCCAGGUAGGAGCUGCAGUUCCAGGAUGUCCAGGUACCAGUAUGUCCAGGUAGGAGCUGCAGUACCAGGAUGUCCAGGUAGGAGCUGUGGUACCAGUAUAUCCUGGUAGGAGCUGUGGUACCAGUAUGUCCAGGUAGGAGCUGUGGUACCAGUAUGUCCAGGUAGAAGCUGUGGAACCAGGAUGUCCAGGUACCAGUAUGUCCUGGUAGUAGCUGUGGUACUAGUGUGUCCAGAUAUGAGCUGUGGUACCAGUAUGUCCAGUUAGAAGCUGCAGUACCAGGAUGUCCAGGUAGGAGCUGUGGAACCAGUAUGUCCAGGUACCAGGAUGUCCAGGUAGGAGCUGUGGAACCAGUAUGUCCAGGUACCAGGAUGUCCAGGUAGGAGCUGUGGUACCAGUAUGUCCAGGUAGGAGCUGUGGUACCAGUAUGUCCAGGUAGGAGCUGUGGUACCAGUAUGUCCAGGUACCAGGAUGUCCAUGUAGGAGCUGUGGUACCAAUAUGUCCUGGUAGGAGCUGUGGUACCAGUAUGUCCUGGUAGGAGCUGCGGUACCAGUAUGUCCAGGUAGGAGCUGCGGUACCAGUAUGUCCAGGUAGGAGCUGUGGUACCAGUAUGUCCAGGUAGGAGCUGAGGUACCAGUAUGUCCAGGUAGGAGCUGAGGUACCAGGAUGUCCAGGUAGGAGCUGUGGUACCAGUAUGUCCAGGUAGGAGCUGUGGUAACAGUAUGUCCAGGUUAACCAUUGGUGUGCACAUGGUAUAUUGUACAGGGAGUUUUACUGUACUUCAGUGAUGCCUGUAUAUAUUUCUUGAAGUUUUAGAUACCCAUAAAAACAUUUCUACUUUACUAAACUGUCUGAUUCCAGAAAAGGCUAUGUUAAACUAACUUCAUGUUUUGUUUCUGUAUUACUAUAUAGAUAAUAAUGGAGCUGGAAGGACAUGAAAUGACCCACAUUCUUGUUUUUGUGGAAGAGGCUAGGUUCAAUCUGGCCGAAUGCAGAGACGUGGAAGCAAUCUCAUUGGCCACCGAGCCACAAUUGUCACACCAGGCCAACGUGGGGACCAUAUUACAAUGUGUGCUGCCAUUUCUGAGAAUGUUGUGAGCAAAACAUAUUCCACACAUUGGGUCCUAUAACACCCAACUUCUCCUGUCCUUCCUAAAUAUACUGUACAGAGACCUAAUACCAGAACAUGAAAGAGAUUGCAUCGCAAGGGAAAACAUCAGAUGUGAUUCUGACUAAAAUCUCUGGCCAGACCAACAAGAGUGCCAGUGUGUCCAAGAAGAUGGGAACUUGUAGUGUUACGUAGGGUGCGGAGGUACUAUUUAUUGUUUUUUACAGAACUGUCGCAGGUUUUUUUCAAUGUUGCGAGUUUAUUUAUUUUUUGCAUAGAUGUCAUUUUGUGGCAAAUUUUCUGUUCAAUAUAUAUGACUUUACAUGUAAGAAAUAUGUAAAAAUGGACAUGCAAAUGUGAAUUUUCUGUUUACAUGUAACACAUUGCUAUAAAUGUUCUGUAUACAUGCAAAUGUGCAUAUCCUUUUUCUGUGUACUACAGUAUUGUUCAAAAAAACAAAAAAAAUGUUUUAUUUUGGUGGCGUUGGUCAAUUCACUGACACAAUAACUAGGCUUUGAAGCACAAAUAGAAAAAAUUGGGUGAGAGACUACAUUUUGCAGACAUGCAAUAGAGUUGUGAUGUCCCAUAAAACAGUUGUGACAAUUGCACUUACAGUUUAGAGAAUGUUAAGCCUGUUUAAAAAAUUGAGCCAAAGCGAUUGAGGAAAAACUAAUUAUUUAUAUAUAUUAGCUUGUUUAUACACUAGGUGGCACUAUAUGUUAGG